GCAGACAAAUCGAUUCGAGUUUCUUAACCAUGCAUGGCGAACCUAAUCUCACGACAUCCGCGCACCACAAGGGUCGCUUCCUGUGUCGGCCGUCCCCAUCAAUUCCAAGGCGCGUGUCAGGUCCAAACUUCCCUUGGCAUACAAUGCUCCAUAGUCCCGGUCUCUACCGUACUGUGACCGCACUUGCACCCACAUGAUGCAC
rnacentral:lncRNA from 1 species